CAAAAGGUUCAGUUGCAAGCAAUCAAGUUGGAAUUUGAUAGACCAGUACAAACAGUCAUGAAGAGGAUUUAAUGGAUCUGUUAUCAUUGGCUGCUCGAGGAAGACGGAAAUAGAUUCAAAUAAAGUACAAAAGGUUCAGUUGCAAGCAAUCAAGUUGAAAUUUGAUAGACCAGUACAAACAGUCAUGAAGAGGAUUUAAUGGAUCUGUUAUCAUUGGCUGCUCGAGGAAGACGGAAAUAGAUUCAAAUAAAGCGAUUCAAACACACCACAUGUUCGAUGGAUUGCCUCACAGGUAUCCUGAGAGAUCGGCUUCGAACUCGGAAGGUCCGCACGUAGAUAGCCGUAGGCGCCUAUGGAGGGGAAUCGGUUCCGGACAGGCUGCGAGAUAGAGAGAGACAAUAAGAGCGCGGAGUCAAAGAUUCGUAGCUGCCGAUGGAGGAGAAGCGGAGCCGCCGAGGCUGUGAGAUAGAGAGACGUUGAUAGAAGUGCGAGGCUGAGAGAGACGGGGUUGGGCGGCACAGAAGAUGGGUUGGGGACUGGGGUAGUUUGUUCUGGGCGUGUAAUAGUUGUAUAAAAUUUUGUUUUAAAAAA